rnacentral:pre_miRNA from 1 species
AGAGGUAGUAGGUUGCAUAGUUUUGGGGCAGGGAUUUUGCCCACAAGGAGGUAACUAUACGACCUGCUGCCUUUCU